GGGGCUGUAGCUCAGUCUGGGAGAGCACCUGAUUUGCAUUCAGGGGGUCGCAGGUUCGAUCCCUGUCAGCUCCA
rnacentral:tRNA from 1 species